rnacentral:misc_RNA from 1 species
GAUCCCUUUAUGGAUAUUGUUUUUCGCCCUUGGAAUCAGGUCAGACAAAGAAGUUGUAGAUCUGAUUGAUUAUAAUACAGAGAAUGCCAGCAUUAUGAAUAUAUUUUUCGCUUCAAUUCAUGAUGCUGAUGAGAAAUGUGAGUGGUUUCGUAGGGAGAGAACUGCUCUGAAUUAUGUUAUUAAGCAAAUACAAGGAACCAGAUUUCCACCGGAGGAAACUGAAGAUUUCGUUAGUUUGUAUUUGUUUC